rnacentral:rRNA from 1 species
GAUGAACGCUGGCGGCGUGCUUAACACAUGCGAGUCGAACGAAGCACUUUAUUUGAUUUCCUUCGGGACUUAUUAUUUUGUGACUGAGUGGCGGACGGGUGAGUAACGCGUGGGUAACCUGCCUUGUACAGGGGGAUAACAGUUGGAAACGGCUGCUAAUACCGCAUAAGCGCACGGCAUCGCAUGAUGCAGUGUGAAAAACUCCGGUGGUAUAAGAUGGACCCGCGUUGGAUUAGCUAGUUGGUGAGGUAACGGCCCACCAAGGCGACGAUCCAUAGCCGACCUGAGAGGGUGACCGGCCACACUGGGACUGAGACACGGCCCAAACUCCUACGGGAGGCAGCAGUGGGGAAUAUUGCACAAUGGGCGAAAGCCUGAUGCAGCGACGCCGCGUGAGCGAAGAAGUAUUUCGGUAUGUAAAGCUCUAUCAGCAGGGAAGAUAAUGACGGUACCUGACUAAGAAGCACCGGCUAAAUACGUG